UGGAAAUUGUAUUUUUCACUGUUUCGUUUAGUAUUGUAAUAAUAUGUCAUAGCAGUUUUUUUUUUUUUUUUUUAAUCUACUUUUAUUCUUGAUUCUCAUGGUUAUUGGGUGCCAUACACACAAAAAAUCCAAGUAUUUUGAGUGUUAAACUACUCAUAAAAUUGCGUUUAAAUCUCCUGAAAAAUAUAAUUUGAUUUGCUGUAAAAGUGUAUCGUACUGUAAUGAUAUGCUCACACAACAUUGUCAAUCAAUGUAUAUUGCAAUCGAGUUGUCACUACCGUCCAACGAUUUCAAGAGGACAGUUAUAUAGUUUAUUUUGUUUUAAUCACAAAGUACGGUCUAUAAUGAACCUCCUGUUAAAUUUCAAAAUACGGUAAUUAGAUGUAAGUGAUUAUAUAGGUACAAUAAGUUAGCACAAAUAAAUAUUUUAAUGGCAGAAUUAGUUUAAGAUAGCAAAUUAAUAAUUAAAAUUAUACACACAAUAUAGUUAACUAGUACAGUAAAACUUCCGUUUACGGU